rnacentral:rRNA from 1 species
CAGUCCUACGGGGCGCAGCAGUAGGGAAUCUUCGGCAAUGGGCGAAAGCCUGACCGAGCAACGCCGCGUGAAUGAAGAAGGCCUUCGGGCUGUAAAAUUCUGUUAUAAGGGAAGAAAGGUGAUAGGAGGAAAUGACUAUCAAUUGACGGUACCUUAUGAGAAAGCCACGGCUAACUACGUGCCAGCAGCCGCGGUAAUACGUAGGUGGCAAGCGUUAUCCGGAAUUAUUGGGCGUAAAGAGCGCGCAGGUGAUUAAUUGAGUCUGAUGUGAAAGCCAACGGCUUAACAGUGGAGGGUCAUUGGAA